rnacentral:rRNA from 1 species
ACGCGCAGAACCUUACCAGNGNUUUGACAUCCUAAUCGCNGUUUUCAGAGAUGAUUACCUUCAGUUCGGCUGGAUUAGUGACAGGUGCUGCAUGGCUGUCGUCAGCUCGUGUCGUGAGAUGUUGGGUUAAGUCCCGCAACGAGCGCAACCCUCGUCCUUAGUUGCCAUCAUUCAGUUGGGCACUCUAAGGAAACUGCCGGUGAUAAGCCGGAGGAAGGUGGGGAUGACGUCAAGUCCUCAUGGCCCUUACACGCUGGGCUACACACGUGCUACAAUGGCGGUGACAGUGGGCAGCAACCGGGCGACCGGUAGCUAAUCUCCAAAAACCGUCUCAGUUCGGAUUGUUCUCUGCAACUCGAGAGCAUGAAGGCGGAAUCGCUAGUAAUCGCGGAUCAGCAUGCCGCGGUGAAUACGUUCCCAGGCCUUGUACACACCGCCCGUCACACCAUGGGAUUUGGAUUCACCCGAAGGCAGUGCGCUAACCGCAAGGAGGCAGCU